rnacentral:rRNA from 1 species
UUGAAAGGGAAACGAUUGAAGUCAGUCGUACCAGCGGGAAAUCAACUUUCGAGUGGGGGUUUUGGAGUUUUUUGAAGAGUGUCAAAACCUUUGAGAUUUCAAAAUAUUCGCUCUUUUGGUGUACUUUCUUGUGGGUAGGUUAACAUCGAUUUUGAUCAUCAUAAAAAGAUUGGAGGAAUGUAGCUUCGAUCUUGUAUUGAAGUGUUAUAGCCUUUGGUAAAUGUGAUGAUUAGGAUCGAGGAUUGCAACGAAUACCCUUUUGGGCUAUCCGCCUGAUCUCUGAUACGUGGCCUUGGUAUGAAAGGUGCUUAUGGUAUUGAGGUAUUACGGUCAAAAGGUUAGAACGGAUUAAUUCGUUAAGGAUGUUGACGUA